GCGGGCGCGCGGCUCUUUGCUCGGCCUUUCUUUGGCGGAGCUUUUUCAAAGUUGGCGUUUUCCCGCUGCUCCGCGUGUUGCGAGCCAAAGGACGGGCGCCCGUCUGAGGACGAGUCCUGGCCGACUGGCUGGUGUGAGCGAGGAUGUGGUUGGUUUAGGGUACUUUGCUGCUGGUGCAAAGUAGUUGUGUCUCUUGUUUGACGAGUACUUGUUUCCUCUCUUUGGGAGAGUCGUGGUCACGGUAAGUUAUUUUGUAACGGUGUAAAAACAGCUGUGCACCAGAACAAUCUGGAACGCGUUAACCAGGAAUCACGGCUCCCUUGAAGUGCUCUGCAAUCUGCUGUACUCUUGAUAUGGAGAAAAGUUUUCUGUUUUCAGGGAGUGCCUUCGAUGGGGACCGGGUGACCAUAUCCACUAUGCAGUCCGGUUUAAUGUAAAGUUCUUCCUUUUGGUGUGUGUGACUGUGUCACUCCUUGCUGGUUAUUCACAGCUGUGCCAUCACUGCAUUUUGUUUCCAGCCCUGUAGAAGCCCCCGUGUCCUGCUUGUUCCCCUUUUAGUUUCUUCGUGUUGUUUUGUAAAGAUGUGAGUUUGGCUGAUGAAUCAGAGCAGCAUCUCCCCAUCCUGGCAUGGUCUUGGUGCGCACGGAUGCUGGACAACUUGUGAUGGUGCCUCAGCAGGCUCUAGCCCAGGCGCAGAUGCAGGCUCAAGUGCAGACACAGGGACAAGGUCCUACCAGCAUUUCACCUCGACUUUCAGUGCCCACAAGUGGCCCAGUUUUUCGCCUAACAACAGCUCAGAAAAAUCUACUUUGCAGGCUUUCUCAAGAGCCUUUUUGGGCUGUGAGUUCAUUGGAGGUCAGAAGGCUCAGUCUUAGACAGAAAUCAGUUUGGAAUUUGUGCCACUGACUUAGUAAAUGACUUUGUUCCCUCUCUGAGUCAUUGUGAUAUUCCAGCACGGUGAAUGGAUGUACAUGAUCACUAGAUUUCACUAGUAAUUAGAAAAGAAAAAGCAAAGCAUGUUCUAUGCCAGAAUUCACAGUAGUUAAAUUUUUGUAGUAUACUUUAUUUGGGAGAAAGAUUUGAUUCCUCUGGUUCACUUCUGUUUUAUUUUCAAGGAUGAAAGUGUGGAGUUUAUUUAUUUAUUUAUUUAAAAUUACUUUGUAAACUUUUUUUGUUUAAAAUUCUGUAAGGAUGCUGUUAGCUUCAAACUAUGUAUGACCUGUGCUUAACUAUCUUACUAGAAUGUAGAGGUAAGCAUCUUCAGAUGUAUAGGGCUGUUGUGCUAUGAUAAUUACAGGCAGAGUGAAAGGUAGCUUUGCCUAAGUUCACUGUUUAUAAAAGAGAUAACUCUGAAUGAAACCAGGUGAAAAAUAUGCCUUUAUAAUUUCUGAUUGAUUGUUGGUUGGUUGAAAUAUCUUAAAUAUGUAUAUUAAUAUUUGAUUGCUGUCACAUUAUAUGCUUUGUGUUUUACAUCAUGUUUGUAGUUUAAGAGAUUGUUUAGUUAAAAAGUAAAAGCAAUGGUAAAUUUUUCAGAAGAGAAGGAAGCCAGAAUAGAAUUGCAUAAUUGAAAAUGAGGUAAUCUAAACCGUAGAGUAGCCAAGUAAAAUGCAAGUUUUAGAUGUGAAUGUAAUAGGAAUAUUGUGUAGCUCAACAGAAUGUAUCUCAAGAAGAGAUAAAAGCCUGGAAACGUUUGAAAAACUUUAUGCUGUCAGAAAAAAGGGUAAGUGCAGUAUUAGAUGGAAUAUUCUAAAAGAACUCUGCGGGAAGGGCAGCUGGUUAAUAUCUAAAUUUGUGUGAUCUGAAAGGAUGAGAAGAUUUGUAAAAAUCCUUCAGAGAUAAAUAUGAGAUGUCAGGAAAAUAAACACAGUGACAGCUUAUAUUGAUUUUCAAGUGUUUUUUUUUACUGAUUUGACACAAAGAAAAAUCUGGAUAAUGUUCAUUAUUUAGUUUGUAUGUCUGUUAUUGGUUGUUUGCUUUCUUGCUUUGUUUGUUUGCUUUUAAAAUAAAUGCAUUACUUCUUUAUUAUUGACUACAACAGAAUAUACAGUGCAUACUCUAGCAACGGAUUCUGAGAUGAGUGUAUAGCAUAAAUGCAUAACAGAUCAUGGGAUGGGACUGCACCAAGAAUAUGACCUCAGUCUGUUAAAAUGAAUUAGGUUUAGUUGGUUUGGUUUCAUACUGUAAGUUUUCGUGCAACUUUAAUUGCUGUGGGUAGCAUUCAGAAUUAAAAUUCAGAGUGGAAACAUCCAUAGGAAAUUACACAUUAACAAAUAGUUUGUUAUUUGAGAACAUAUGAGGAGUACAUCUUUAUUGUACGUAGAAUCUUAUGACAAAAAUGCAGUUCUGCUUGGCUGCAUGUGUUCAAUCUUUAUUAGAAGAUUGGAAUUUGUAUGUGUGCACAACAGAUGCUGGGAGUUGAUCAUAUUGGCCUCAGGCAGGUGUUCUCCAGUUAUAUGAAGCUGUUAAGAUUGUGGAAAUAGUGUAAUCUGACGUGCUGGGUUUUUGUAAAAAUUAAGCUCUGAGGAUACUGCAUGUUCGUGUGUGGUAGAGAUGCUAAAAAUAUGAGGGAGCUAGUUCUAGUAUUAGGAUGAUGUAGUUGUUUUUCUGCAGGAUUCUGAGUAGCUAGAUAGCCUGCAGAGCAUUAAAGGUAUUUCUUUAUACUUAUUUGUGUUAAUUAACAGAUUGAGAAUAGAGACGAACGGUGCCUUAGGAAUGGUAAGUGUCUUACAGCAUGCAAUAGUUCAGGUAUUUUUAAGGUGGUGGGAUUUGAAUCAUGGUAUUGUAGCCAGUCAGGAUUCAUCUGCUUUGAGAGACCUUUGUAGUCACUGCCCAGGCAGUACUGCGUUUCUUUAAUUGCUGUCAUUAAGAAAGACAAGAAAUAUUUAACAAUGUCCCUCAAAAAUACACAUUUUUGUACAAUAAUGACUCUGUGGUAUGUCGACUCUUUGAUUUUUACAGUGCUUAUUGUAUAUAUGUUUGACAUUGAAAUGUAAUUUGAAGAUAAUGACUUGAGGCAUUUUAAAGCCACACUGUAAAAAUCUAAAUUCUAAAGGUUUUAUCAUAUCAGAACUAGAUAUUAGACUUUCAUUUGGUCAGGUGGAAGUUUAUAACUAGAAGUUUUUGGAGGCAAUGUCCAGUGAUAAAUACUAUGCUGAGUUUUUGGAAGUGUCACUUAUUUGAGGAGUCAUUCUGGUUAGCCAAGAAAAAGGAUGAAGCGCUAAAAUGCAGAGAGGUGUAUGUACUGAAAAAGAAUUCAUCCAGUGAGUUAGUGCUCAAAGUAUUUUCUAGGAUAUCAGAUCUUACUACAAAGAACGUGUUAGUCAAUGUCUACUUCAUAGCUCCUCUAUUUGCUUUUCUUUAGUUUGUACUGAUUUCUAGCCAGCGUCAAAUACCAGCUCAGUAAUUGUUUUCAGUGUUACUGAUGUAAUUUCUAUGUGCACUUUAAAAAAUUAUGUUAAAAAGUAUGUUAUGAGCUACGUAGUUAGAUGUAAAAUAAGGGUUAUUAAAUUAUAUCACAAAGAAAUUGUAAAAUCUGGUAGUUAGCUUUGGCAACUCAGUGAGUGCUGAGAGUGAGAGCAGCAGAAUAUAAAAGGAACAACUUUAAAAAUAACAAGAAAGGUAGUUUGCAAAACUAACAGAGUGUGCCUCUAAAAAUUGGAAGCUCUGUGAAUCUCUUUUCUCUCUCUCUCUCUCUCUCUCCUCUAACAAAAAAAAAAA
rnacentral:lncRNA from 1 species